GCCUAAUUCUAACUUUUUAUGGGUCGGGUUGGGUUAAGGUUGCGUAAUUUUCGGACUAAGAUUGACCUCGAGCUGAACCCUACAAUAUUUCGAUCGGGUCAAUGGGUCUAACGAACCAAGGAUAUCCGGAUAACAAAUGACUGGAAUAGGAGCAAUGGAACGGGAUUCCGGUUUUAGCCUUUCGUUGGCGGCAGCCGCUGUAUAAGUUAUCCCGGCGAC
rnacentral:lncRNA from 1 species